ACGGACGCUGGCGGCGUGCUUAACACAUGCAAGUCGAACGGAAAGGCCCCAGCUUGCUGGGGUACCCGAGUGGCGAACGGGUGAGUAACACGUGGGUGAUCUGCCCUGCACUCUGGGAUAAGCCUGGGAAACUGGGUCUAAUACCGGAUAGGACCGUGCUUUAGUGUGUGCGGUGGAAAGUUUUUCGGUGCAGGAUGAGCCCGCGGCCUAUCAGCUUGUUGGUGGGGUAAUGGCCUACCAAGGCGGCGACGGGUAGCCGGCCUGAGAGGGUGUACGGCCACAUUGGGACUGAGACACGGCCCAGACUCCUACGGGAGGCAGCAGUGGGGAAUAUUGCACAAUGGGCGCAAGCCUGAUGCAGCGACGCCGCGUGGGGGAUGACGGCCUUCGGGUUGUAAACCCCUUUCGGCAGGGACGAAGCUUUUGUGACGGUACCUGCAUAAGAAGCACCGGCUAACUACGUG
rnacentral:rRNA from 1 species